GGUUCGAUGGCGUAGUUGGUUAUCGCAUCUGUCUAACAUGACGAAGAAAUAAAGCUCCUACACAGAAGGUCCCCAGUUCGAGCCUGGGUCGAAUCA